rnacentral:rRNA from 1 species
AUUGAACGCUGGCGGCAGGCUUAACACAUGCAAGUCGAGCGGGGUGAGGUGCUUCGGUACUGAUCCUAGCGGCGGACGGGUGAGUAAUGCUUAGGAAUCUGCCAUUUAGUGGGGGACAACAUUCCGAAAGGGAUGCUAAUACCGCAUACGUCCUACGGGAGAAAGCAGGGGAUCUUCGGACCUUGCGCUAAAUGAUGAGCCUAAGUCGGAUUAGCUAGUUGGUGGGGUAAAGGCCUACCAAGGCGACGAUCUGUAGCGGGUCUGAGAGGAUGAUCCGCCACACUGGGACUGAGACACGGCCCAGACUCCUACGGGAGGCAGCAGUGGGGAAUAUUGGACAAUGGGCGGAAGCCUGAUCCAGCCAUGCCGCGUGUGUGAAGAAGGCCUUUUGGUUGUAAAGCACUUUAAGCGAGGAGGAGGCUACCUAGAUUAAUACUCUGGGAUAGUGGACGUUACUCGCAGAAUAAGCACCGGCUAACUCUGUGCCAGCCGCCGCGGUAA